GGAGAAAAAGCAUCGGCUAACUCCGUGCCAGCAGCCGCGGUAAUACGGAGGAUGCGAGCGUUAUCCGGAUUUAUUGGGUUUAAAGGGUGCGUAGGCGGGCUGUUAAGUCAGCGGUCAAAUGUCGGGGCUCAACCCCGGCCUGCCGUUGAAACUGGCGGCCUCGAGUGGGCGAGAAGUAUGCGGAAUGCGUGGUGUAGCGGUGAAAUGCAUAGAUAUCACGCAGAACUCCGAUUGCGAAGGCAGCAUACCGGCGCCCGACUGACGCUGAGGCACGAAAGCGUGGGUAUCGAACAGGAUUAGAUACCCUGGUAGUCCACGCAGUAAACGAUGAAUGCUAGCUGUCCGGUUCUACGGGACUGGGUGGCACAGCGAAAGCGUUAAGCAUUCCACCUGGGGAGUACGCCGGCAACGGUGAAACUCAAAGGAAUUGACGGGGGCCCGCACAAGCGGAGGAACAUGUGGUUUAAUUCGAUGAUACGCGAGGAACCUUACCCGGGCUCAAACGCCAAAGGACAGCCGUUGAAAGGCGGCCUCCCUCCGGGGUCUUUGGCGAGGUGCUGCAUGGUUGUCGUCAGCUCGUGCCGUGAGGUGUCGGCUUAAGUGCCAUAACGAGCGCAACCCCCAUCGACAGUUGCUAACGGGUAGAGCCGAGGACUCUGUCGAGACUGCCGGCGCAAGCUGCGAGGAAGGCGGGGAUGACGUCAAAUCAGCACGGCCCUUACGUCCGGGGCGACACACGUGUUACAAUGGCCGGUACAGCGGGAUGCCAGGGCGCGAGCCCGAGCGGAACCCGAAAACCGGUCUCAGUUCGGAUUGGAGUCUGCAACCCGACUCCAUGAAGCUGGAUUCGCUAGUAAUCGCGCAUCAGCCACGGCGCGGUGAAUACGUUCCCGGGCCUUGUACACACCGCCCGUCAAGCCAUGGGAGCCGGGGGUGCCUGAAGUGCGUUACCGCGAGGGACGCCCUAGGGUAAAACCGGUGACUGGGGCUAAGUCGUAACAAGGUAGCCGU
rnacentral:rRNA from 1 species